GUGUUCUAUGAAAAGAGAGAAGGCUAGCACUCCCUUUGGCAAGGAUUGAAGAGGCCCUCGGGCCUUAAAGCAGACAUAAUGUUCAGGCAUUUCCACCCUACUUCGUGGCAUCUACUCACCAUUCUCU
ensembl:snRNA